rnacentral:lncRNA from 1 species
AAAACUCCCUUUAGACAUUCUUCUAAGUUGGAGUCGCUGGCAACAAAUUCUCUUGGUUUACUGAGAUUGUCACUGAAUGCCUGGACCACACAGCCCUGGCUCCUGAGGUCCCAACAGAUUUGGCCACCUGCUGCCUGCAAGAUCCAAUGAGAGAGAAGAAUGGUGGUGAAACAGAGAAGGGAUUCAUUUUUGGCAUAGUCAUCUGGAAAGACAGCAGGUCUACUGAACUCCUAAGAAAACUGCAUCCAAAAAAAAGAAAACUGCAUCUGAGGCAUGGACAGCAGCUCCAGGAUUAUACAGCAGAAGAACUACAGUAGGAGGCAAAAGUAUGCAGCCAGGCACUCUUGGUCACACUGGGGUACAGUCCAGUCCCACAAGGUCACACUGUCACCAGGGAAGAUGACUGCUUGCAAGCAGUGCCCAAGGGAGGCAGCCAGACAUGAAGCAGGAAGGGUGGAGCCACUCUGGAACCUUCCAAGAAAAAGCAGAAUCUUCGGGACAUGGGAGAAACUUCUCUGUGUCUCACUACCUUCUUCUCUGGGUGGGAAGACAGCAUAGAAUUGAAGCCAUCUUUAACACUCCACCUUACAGUUUGCUUUUGGAAGACACUUGGGCUGGCACAUGCACUCUGUCUCCCCGCCUGACACCCUCUGCUGUGUCCAGAUGCAGCAAAAUGGCCUCCCCUGAUGAUGUGCAGACCCCAGCACCUUGCUCUCCUUCCCAGCAUCCAGAACCACGAGCCAAAUAAACUUCUGUUCUAUACAGAUCAUCCUGCCUCAUUCCUAUUUUAUACCAGUGGAAAAUGGACUAAGACAGCUUUCUUCUUU